GCCCUUGAAGGGUAUAUGCUGUCCCCAGCCUCUUCCUUCCUCUCUGGCUCUUGCUCUCUCUGCUUCCUGAGUGCCACUAAGUAAGCAGCUUCCCUCCAUCACACCCUUCUGCCAUGAUAUUUCUGCCUUGAAGCCAGCUGACGAGGUACUGAAACCUCUGAAACUGUAGGUUAAAUUUUUAAGGUUGAACAUCUCCAAUUAUGAAGAACAACCACCACCAUAUGAAAUAACAUUCUGUUUGGCUUUAAACAAUUAUGGUGCCCCCCAUCCCAGGACAGAGAUUGGCUUCUAAGUGGACAUUACUGCUUCUAGAUACAAUCCCAGAACUGCUCCAUCC
ensembl:lncRNA